AGUGGAGUCAAGAAUAAAUUCAUUCUGCCCUACUGGCGCUUUAGAUCGGGUUGCACAAUCCCGGGGCAAAACUGCCUUCGCCUAGCCCUAAAAGCAUCAGGUACUAAAUACUGUAGUAAGUUAGCGUCAGGACGUUUUAAAGCGAGACGGAAACUCAAGAGUUGCCUGAACCAAGUUAGCCAGCCCAUAAUCCCGAAUUCAGGAAUCUGUCACGUCACUUGAGAUCAUAAUGAAAUUAAGUUUUGAUCCCUUUGAGAUCUCUUAGCGCACAAAGUCAGGCUCCUAUCACUGCAAGGGGAAUCCGACCCUGGCUCGAGAAAAACUUGUGGAACUCGUGUCCUUUCCGCCCACCGUGGGAGGGCCGCACCGGUCGGGUCGGGCGAGGAGCCCGGGCGCUAGUUUGGGGGCGCAGUGGGGCUCGGCGGGGGCGGCGAGCGCGCGUCCCCCCGCCCGCUCAGGCGGCGUCGAGGCGCGAGCAGCUCAGCCAGCCUUGCAGAGGGAGCUCUCGGCAGCUCUGGGGUCCCUCUACUCGCAGCCGCAGCAGCGCCGCCUGCGCCACUCGGUGGAGACGGAGACCAGCGGCGGCGACGCGCGGACUAGGAGCGACCGCGGAGCAGCCGGGCGGCGGGGGACGCUCGCAAGGCCGCAGGCUUCAAGAGUGUCUUCUAGUACUUCCCUGGUGGCGCAGCAGUUAAGAAUCUGCCUGCCAAUGCAGGGACAUGGGUUUAAGCCUUGGUCCGGGAAGAUCCUACAUGCCACGGAGCAGCUAAGCCCGUGCGCCACAACUACUGAGCCUGUGCUCUAGAGCCCGCGAGCCACAACUACUGAAGCCGGCACACCUAGAGCCUGUGCUCCGCAACAAAAAGAAGCCAGCGCAAUGGGAAGCCCACGCACCACAAUGAAGAAUAGCGCCCGCUCGCUGCAACUAGAGGAAGCCUGCGUGCAGCAACAAAUGCCCAACGCAGCCAAAAAUAAAUAAAUAAAUUUAUUUUUUAAAAAAAGAA